rnacentral:rRNA from 1 species
CCUACGAGUGGCUGCAGUGAGGAAUAUUGGUCAAUGGACGGAAGUCUGAACCAGCCAUGCCGCGUGCAGGAAGACGGCUCUAUGAGUUGUAAACUGCUUUUGUACAAGAGUAAACCUGAAUACGUGUAUUCAGAUGCAAGUAACGUACGAAACAGGCUCGGCUAACUCCGGGCCAGCAGCCGCGGUAAUACGGAGGAGCCAAGCGUUAUCCGGAUUUAUUGGGGUGACAGGGUGCGGAGGCGGAUUGAUAAGUUAGAGGUGAAAUGUCCGAGCUUAACUCGGGAACUGCCUCUAAUACUGGUGAUCUAGAGAGUAGAUGCGGUAGGCGGAAUGUAUGGUGUAGCGGUGAAAUGCUUAGAGAUCAUACAGAACACCGAUUCCGAAGGCAGCUUACCAAUCUAUAUCUGACGUUGAGGCACGAAAGCGUGGGGAGCAAACAGGAUUAGAUACCCUGGUAGUC